AGUCGUAACAAGGUCUCCGUUGGUGAACCAUGCGGAUGGGAUCAUUAACAGAUUGAAAACUCCCAAACCCGGUGUGAACUUACCUUCGGUCGUUGCUUCGGCGGGCGGCUCCCAGGGGGAGCCGUAGCCCCGGGAAGGGGCGCCCGCCGGAGGACCAACCCAAAACCAUGUUGUUUUAGGAGAUAUCUGAGCCGGUACGGAAUAAGUCAAAA
rnacentral:misc_RNA from 1 species